UACGUAGGGGGCAAGCGUUGUCCGGAAUCAUUGGGCGCAAAGCGCGUGUAGGCGGUUUCGUAAGUCUGCUGUGAAAGUCGGAGGCUCAACCUUCGAAAGCCGGUGGAUACUGUGAGACUUGAGUACGGAAGAGGAGAGUGGAAUUCCUGGUGUAGCGGUGAAAUGCGCAGAUAUCAGGAGGAACACCAACGGCGAAGGCAGCUCUCUGGGACGUUACUGACGCUGAGACGCGAAAGCGUGGGGAGCAAACAGG
rnacentral:rRNA from 1 species